rnacentral:misc_RNA from 1 species
GAUGAAGAACGUAGCGAAAUGCGAUAAGUAGUGUGAAUUGCAGAAUUCAGUGAAUCAUCGAAUCUUUGAACGCACAUUGCGCCCCUUGGUAUCCCGAGGGUCAUGCCUGUUCGAGCGUCAUUUCACCACUCAAGCCUGGCUUGGUGUUGGGCGACGUCCCCUUUGGGGACGCGCCUCGAAACGCUCGGCGGCGUGGCACCGGCUUUAAGCGUAGCAGAAUCUUUCGCUUUGGAAGUCGGGGCCCCGUCUGCCGGAAGACCUACUCGCAAGGUUGACCUCGGAUCAGGCAGGGAUACCCGCUGAACUUAAGCAUAUCAAUAAGCGGAGGA